rnacentral:rRNA from 1 species
AUUGAACGCUGGCGGCAGGCCUAACACAUGCAAGUCGAACGAGCGGCGGACGGGUGAGUAAUGUAUGGGAAUCUGCCUGAUGGAUGGGGAUAACUACUGGAAACGGUAGCUACUACCGCAUACUAUCGGAUGUGCCCAGAUGGGAUUAGCUAGUAGGUGGGGGAAAGGCUCACCUAGGCGACGAUCCCUAGCUGGUCUGAGAGGAUGACAAGCCAAACUGGGACUGAGACACGGCCCAGACGCCUACGGGAGGAAGCAGUGGGGAAUAUUGCACAAUGGGCGAAAGACUGAUCCAGACAUGCCGCGUGUGUGAAGAAGGUCUUAGGAUUGUAAAGGACGUUAAGUUGGGAGGCGUUACCAACAGAAGAAGCACCGGCUAACUUCGUGCCAGCCGCCGCGGUAAUAC